rnacentral:lncRNA from 1 species
UUAAAAAGCUUCUGGCAACACUUCUAAUAGCCGACAGAUGACGCCUAUAAAAGUUGCAGCGAAGGAUUGAAUAAAAGCUUAAACGUUUUGCUAACUGGGUUUGUGAUUAGUGUCAUGAUACAAUUGGGAUCUUUCAUAAAUUGGUCAACAUGAAGCUUAUCAUUUACGAACAGUUGCCGGUUAAAUCAGUGCGAAGACUUAAUGCCCUAACCAACUUAUAGCGUAAAUUCAAAACUUUGCUUCGGCUGGACGACAUCGCUCUAUAGGAAGUACUCUUCAACUAUUUGGUAUAAUUCAUUGCAAAGCCCUUGAGAGAAAAACUGCUUCUUACCUCGAAAUGUGGCCACUGACCGCAACAGGUGCCAUGAAAGAUGAUCCUGAUGCAGUUCUUAUUUGCAGUCGAAAUUCUAUGCCGGCGCUUACUCAUCUCGGACCUAAAGAGAUAUGUUGGACAAGUGAGCAAUUGAAACGUCGUCGAACAAAGAUCAAACUCUACAAAUCGCUCAUCAUUCUCGCUCUGCUAUGUGGUGCGGAGUUAUGUACGAUGACAAUAUGUUAUGAAUUGGUGUUCGGAAAUUUCGAGAGAAAGGUUUUGCGUUAUUAAAAUUAUUCUCCAAUUUGGUUUUCGGGGAGCAGUUGGGGAGGGACAGUAUUUGGACGGUUACAAAUCAGAGUCAUUCCAGUAUAAGGGCACAACUGUCGCGGGAACUAUUGCAUUUUAGUUGCCUCUAUCUUACCGCGGGAAUAUUUUUGAACCCUUAACCAGCAAGAAUUUCUGUUUUCUCUCGACUGCGACACUGCAAUUCUAAUCAUACUAGCUGUUCUUCCUAACUUUUCCAAAAACCAAUAGUUUCGUUUGCAGGUGUAGAUAGGAAGCUUGAAAUUCUAUUCCACAGUUUCCGUAUAGCAAAGUGUUGAGGAGUGCUCUCAGAGAGCAGGAGCUCAAGUCGAAUUUGGAUGCCUGUUGUGAUUGCAGUAUUACGGGCAUCACACCUUCCUUGAGUUUGUUUACGGGGGAUCUUUACGGUAUUGCUACUACAAGAUAGUGGUCCGAGCCGAUGUUGUGCUCCUCGGAGCGUACGUUCGUCAAAAACUUUGAAAACAUGUUGCGCAUCUAUCAUAACAUGAUUGAUCUGGUUAAGAGUUUUUCGAUCCGGACACCGCCAAGUUGCUUUAUGAAUUUUCUUGUGCUCGAAUAUACUACUACAGACAAUCAUCAUCGUCCUUUUCUUCCGUCGAGGCGUGUGGGCAAAUCAGAGACAUGUUUAAGAACUUCGCUUCUAUGCCGAUUAUGGCGAGACGUUCUGGAUCGGGUCUCUCUCCUAUCAAAUUUGUGCUUCCUCAUAUAUCUCCUUUAUUUGGGCGCUGUAGUAAAUGCCAGGAAACCCUAAUAGUUUCCGUUCUUGUCCCUUUUUGUACGGCGGUGACACCAGCUAAUUGUGUAUAAAGAUUUUUCUUAUUGUUGGAUAAAAUUAACAUUUAACCGAUUAUUUAUUUAACAACGUUUUAUUUUAACGUUUGUUGGGUAUAAAAUCAUUUUAGCUCUCCACAUACGCCGCUGCAGCGAACGAACCUGGAAAGAAGCGCAACUGGAAAUUCAUUCAUAAAUUCCGCUGUACCUUUAGCAUAGUAAAAGCACACACAGACAGACACACACUCACACUUACACGAGUACUACGAGUAUAUAAAAGCGCAUAGAAAAGGUGCGCCAACGGCUCAACUGAGUACGAGCAUUUACUCUCAGAGCUGCAGCGACAAAUGGCGCUGCAGUUGGUGCCUAAGUGUGUUGGCAUACAACUGCGAAAUUAUUCUCCUCUACUCAGCACCUUUCGCUGUAUACCUACCCGCCAGGGCCGGUGCCAUCAUGACCGGAACGGGCUUAUUGCCAAGAGGGGACAUUUUUUUUUAUCCGCCUCGGUGUUGGGCAGCUUUUUGAAUGAAUAACAACAAUUACGUGUAUAAAAAUGUAAAAUGUAUCUACAUACUCGUAUAUAUGCACGUGUGUACAUGUAUAUAUU